AAUCUUCUGUCUUAAGAGCACCCAGGAUGUGUUUUCAUUGGUACGGAAUUAGCUAGCCCUGGGAAAGACAGUCCCUCCAGAGUUAGCAACACCCCAAGAUGUCAAAGAUAAAAAUGCAAAAAUUAAAACUCCAUGAUUAACACAACUUUGAAGUCCUUCUCACUUGUCUUUAGAUGAAGGGCAACAUCAUUGCAACAAGUCACACUUUGAGAACUCAAGAGAAUAUGUUUGUUCUGAAAAUCCAGGAAUUAUUGCCAACCCAUGGUUGUCUCCAUAUGUCUUGGGAAAAAUAGGAAAAGGAUUUUUUGAGUUGGUGAUUUGAAUCCAAGACACAAAGAUUCAGGCUCUGGUAAAAAGAUUGUAUAGGCUAUAUUGGCUGACAUAAAAGGUAAGAGCAAGAAUGCAGAGGAUUUCUAUCAACAUAAAGAAGAGUCAAAGAGACAUAAAAGGCACACAAUGAAAUCUUAAUAAAUGUAUUGGAUGUUGCAGCAUUAACUGAUGAGCCAGACAAUGUAAAGACCUCAGACUACCAAAUGUUUUGAAAGACGAAUAGUGAAUGUGAAACUGUGAACCAAAAUAGAUUUUUAGAAUCCUUGAAAAAAUAGAGCUAGAGAAAGUCUUUGAGACCAUUGAUUGCAAAUAUUUGAGUUUACAACUGAGCAAAUGGAGAAAAGAGAAGUGACUCGUCAGUCCAACAAGUGGCAGAAUCAGAACCAGACCCCAAUGCUUGGGUCUUCUGUCCCUCCUGGCACCAAAGUCACCUAUCAUAAGUAACUUGAGUUUCAGAGGGGAAGGAAAAGACUACAAUGUCCCAGCACUGUUCCAGACACUUUUUAGGGGACUCCAAGACACCUUGUGUAAUGCCUAUUUUAAGUAGCUGGAAGAUUCUAUAGCAUGGGAAAAGCCCACUGAAGGCAAAAGUAAACAUUACCUAUUGUGGUCCUGGAAAAGAAAAUCAUCUCUCAUUUAUCUCCUGGAGCUGUUUGACGAACUUGUGCCCUGGUUUUACUUUGGGAGCCACCUUUCUCUUUCAGGUGCUGUCUCAGUGGAAUAGUCAACCAAUGUAUCCUACAUUUUGGACCAGCAGAAGGAAGUAAUGAGAACAGAAAACAAAUAAGAAGUGAGUUGGAGGGAGAAGGAGACUUUAGCAUCUUCCUGAAAUCAGGAAGAAAGUUUCAAGAAUAAAGUAAUCCAUAGGGUCAAAUACUGCAGUAAGUUUAAUUAGGAUGAAGACUGCAAAGAUGGUAUUAGUUUGGUACUUAGGACAUUGGUGACCUCCACAGGUGACUUUCAGGAGAAUUAUCUGGGGAACUUGUUGAUAGAAUUUGUGAAUCUCCACCUUUAGGGAUUCUGAUUUAGAAGGAGUAGGAAGAAGGCCUUAGGAUCUCCAUUUAUAACAACCACUACUGAUUAUUUUGAGGCAGGUAGCAUACAGACCACAUUUGAAAGAAACACUAGGUAAGUGUGAUUUUCAUUCAAAGGACAAAAAACAUAAAGUUACCUAAUUCAGGGACCAUUUCAAAGACCAAAUCAAAUCAGUAGCCUGGCUGAUCUGAUCGACUGCGCAGAAACUAGCCAUUACCAUGGCAAAGUGGGGAGGAACAGUCAAUAAAAAGCAAUUGAUGGCCAGGCGCGGUGGCUCACGCCUGUAAUCCCAGCACUUUGGGAGGCCAAGGCGGGCGGAUCACGAGG
rnacentral:lncRNA from 1 species